rnacentral:rRNA from 1 species
AUACGUAGGGUGCAAGCGUUAAUCGGAAUUACUGGGCGUAAAGCGUGCGCAGGCGGUUUUGUAAGACAGUGGUGAAAUCCCCGGGCUCAACCUGGGAACUGCCAUUGUGACUGCAAGGCUGAAGUGCGGCAGAGGGGGAUGGAAUUCCGCGUGUAGCAGUGAAAUGCGUAGAUAUGCGGAGGAACACCGAUGGCGAAGGCAAUCCCCUGGGCCUGCACUGACGCUCAUGCACGAAAGCGUGGGGAGCAAACAGGAUUAGAUACCCUGGUAGUCCACGCCCUAAACGAUGUCAACUGGUUGUUGGGGAUUUAUUUUCUCAGUAACGAAGCUAACGCGUGAAGUUGACCGCCUGGGGAGUACGGCCGCAAGGUUAAAACUCAAAUGAAUUGACGGGG